UUGAAAAGAACUUUGAAGAGAGAGUUCAAGAGUACGUGAAACCGUUCAGGGGUAAACCUAAGAAACCCAAAAGAUCGAACGGGGAGAUUCAUCGUCAGCGACGCUGGCUUCGCGUCGGUGGGCGAUGUCCCGCGGGGCCUCGCGGCUCGCGCGCGGACACGCCGCCGUGCGCUCGAUGUCCGGCGUUUCGUCGUCGUGCACUUCUCCCCUAGUAGAACGUCGCGACCCGCUGGGUGUCGGUCUACGGCCCGGGUGCGGUGGCUGACGCGUCGCCGGUAAAAGGGCACGCGUCAAACCCCCGGUCGCCCGGCCGGCUGCCCGGCGGUACACGCAAGGUAUCAGGCCGCACCGCGCGCGCGCGCCGCUCUCUCACGGGGGGGCGUGCGCGCGCGCGCGCGCUCGAAUGUGCGUCGAGGCCGUCGCAAGCGCGCGCCACGGUACACGGAGGACAAACGGACCUGGCGCCGUCACCGGUCCUGGCCCGCUGUUGGUCGCACGGUUAACCUUCGACAGGCCCGCGAACGUCCCCCCCACGCCGCCGGGGCGACCCGACGGCGUUCGCGGGGACCGAUACCGGUCGGCGACGCUACUGCUUUGGGUACUCUUAGGACCCGUCUUGAAACACGGACCAAGGAGUCUAACAUGUACGCGAGUCAUUGGGACUAGCGGUAUACCUAAAGGCGCAAUGAAAGUGAAGGUCGGCCCUGGUUGUCGACCGAGGGAGGAUGGGCCGCGUUCCCGACGCGGCCCCGCACUCCCGGGGCGUCUCGUUCUCAUCGCGAGAAGAGGCGCACCCAGAGCGUACACGUUGGGACCCGAAAGAUGGUGAACUAUGCCUGGUCAGGACGAAGUCAGGGGAAACCCUGAUGGAGGUCCGUAGCGAUUCUGACGUGCAAAUCGAUCGUCGGAACUGGGUAUAGGGGCGAAAGACUAAUCGAACCAUCUAGUAGCUGGUUCCCUCCGAAGUUUCCCUCAGGAUAGCUGGCACUCGGCCGUUCCGCACGGAACGCGCGCGAGUCUCAUCUGGUAAAGCGAAUGAUUAGAGGCCUUGGGGCCGAAACGACCUCAACCUAUUCUCAAACUUUAAAUGGGUGAGAUCUCUGGCUUUCUUGAACUAUGAAGCCACGAGCAUCUCGGAUCAGAGUGCCAAGUGGGCCAUUUUUGGUAAGCAGAACUGGCGCUGUGGGAUGAACCAAACGCGGAGUUAAGGCGCCCAACUCGACGCUCAUGGGACACCAUGAAAGGCGUUGGUUGCUUAAGACAGCAGGACGGUGGCCAUGGAAGUCGGAAUCCGCUAAGGAGUGUGUAACAACUCACCUGCCGAAGCAACUAGCCCUGAAAAUGGAUGGCGCUGAAGCGUCGAGCCUAUACUCCGCCGUCAGCGGCAAGUGGGGCGGCCGUGCGCGCCCGGGCGUCUCUAUCCCCCUCGCGGGGCGGGACGCACCCGGGGUGACGCACGGGCCGCCACGAGGCCCUGACGAGUAGGAGGGUCGCGGCGGUGCGCGCAGAAGGGUCU
rnacentral:rRNA from 2 species